rnacentral:lncRNA from 1 species
AAGCCAUGUUAGGAACAGGAGGAGAACCUUGUCCUAACAUGGGCAAAGUUGAAAGUCCGAUUAUUUUAGACCGGAUGGGGGGAGAGGCCCAUAUAACGGCCCUUAUGUGCCCCCACAGCCCUGUUAGGGACAGGAGGAGAACCUUGUCCUAACAUGGGCAAAGUUGAAAGUUCGAUUAUUUUAAGACUGGACGGGGGGAGAGGCCCAUAUAACGGCCCUUA